GAUGCGGGGUGGGUAGGGGGAGGUGUUGAGCACUGAAUCCAGGGUCUGGCCCAUGCUAGGCAAACACCCUAAGUCGUAUUCCCAGAAGCACAUAGUUUUAAAUUUUUUGUAAGGAUGGAAUCCAAAAAAGGAUCUAACUAGACCUGGUCGGUACACUCUAGCCAGCAUGAUUUACCAAUGAAAACUCGACCACAGCGCAGAAUACCUCCACUCUGUUCCUCUGUUCCUCCCACUGACCCUUUACACAGGAAACCCAGCUGGUGAACUCCCCACCUCCAGGGCAGGGAAGCAUAGCCACAAAGCAAGCUAGCUAGCAAGCGAGCGAGCGAGCUCGCUCUCUCUGGCGCCCCCACCCCCGCCCCAGGGUGUCUGAGAAGGACGAUCGAUCGGAACCUCUGAGGUAGUUGCACCUGCUCAGGGCUCGUGCCUUUUCUGCUAGGACUCAGAUGGGAGCCACCUGGAUGCCACACACAGCCCAAACAAGGAAGCUUUGUAUCCUGUGACAGUUCCGCAACUGGAGCUCUGUCUUGCUCCACUCUCCGGUGACCUUUGGAGCCGAUACCUUUGGGGGCGUGGUCAGCUCACACAGGGCAGUCUUUUUCCAGAAGCCCUGUUUGUGGAACUCAGUGACGUGACUUGAGAGUCCUACUAAAAUGAUACUGCUGGGGAUGGGGAAAGGCACCGCCUUAGCUCGAAGGUUCUGGAUCUUUCUGUAGGAUUGCUAGGAAUUCGGAAAACAUAUCUGAUGGUCUUCAUAAGCCACAGAACCUGCUGCAAUAAAAAUUCAGGACCGACUUUUUCAAAAAAAGGAGAAGAUAGUAUCUAUAGAAGUGUGUCGGAAUGGAACGAACAUGCGUAAGAACUAAGCCCAUGUGACCUUCCAGUGUGGCCUUACACUUUUCCCGAGUGUUUCCUGGGACUCUCAAAAAACAAGACCAAUCCCUUGUUCAUCGCUGAAGACAUCUUAACUCUCUUCCUGCCACCCUGGAACCUAGGGCUCUUCUACCCUAGCAGCCAUGACUCUUUCCAAUAUGCAGGAACCAGCCUAGGAUCGUGCUUGGGUUGUCAACCCUUUAAGACAAUGGUUCAGAGAGCAGAGUACACAGCGUCUGCAAGACACCGAACUGUGACUCUCUCUCGGAGAUCCACAUCCAUUCUCUUUCUGUUAUGCUCUAUUCUAAAAAUACAAUAAAAAAAUCUCGUAAUAAAAACC